rnacentral:miRNA from 1 species
ACUGCAUGAGCAGCACUUCCUGA